UCGACCGGGGGCGACAGCAAUAUGAAGGUCAGGCUGAAGACCUUACCCGAUUAGCUGAGAGGUGGUGCAUGGCCGUCGUCAGUUCGUACUGUGAAGCAUCCUGUUAAGUCAGGCAACGAGCGAGACCCACGUCCACAGUUGCCAGCAUACCCUCCGGGGUGAUGGGUACACUGUGGAGACCGCCGCUGCUAAAGCGGAGGAAGGAGUGGGCAACGGUAGGUCAGUAUGCCCCGAAUCUCCCGGGCUACACGCGGGCUACAAUGGUUGGUACAAUGGGCAUCUACCCCGAAAGGGGAAGGAAAUCUCUUAAAGCCAAUCGUAGUUCGGAUUGAGGGCUGCAACUCGCCCUCAUGAAGCUGGAAUCCGUAGUAAUCGCGUUUCAACAGAACGCGGUGAAUACGUCCCUGCUCCUU
rnacentral:rRNA from 1 species